rnacentral:rRNA from 1 species
AUUGAACGCUGGCGGCAGGCCUAACACAUGCAAGUCGAACGAGUGGCGGACGGGUGAGUAAUGUCUGUGAAACUGCCUGAUGGAGGGGGAUAACUACUGGAAACGGUAGCUAAUACCGCAUACCAUCAGAUGUGCCCAGAUGGGAUUGGCUUGUUGGUGGGGUAACGGCUCACAAAGGAUACGAUCCCUAGCUGGUCUGAGAGGAUGACCAGCCACACUGGAACUGAGACACGGUCCAGACUCCUACGAGAGGCAGCAGUGGGGGAUGUUGCACAAUGGGCGCAAGCCUGAUGCAGCCAUGCCGGGUGUAUGAAGAAGGCCUUCGGGUUAUAAAGUACUUUCAGCGGGGAGGCGUUACCCGCAGAAGAAGCGCCGGCUAACUCCGUGCCAGCAGCCGCGGUAAUUC